GCCCGCGCCGACCGGCCUGAAUCGUUGGGCUUCCGCGGGAUCCUGGUGGUGGUUUAGCCGCUUUACGUUCCGGUUUUGUGCCGUUGGCGGUCUUCUCUGCAGACUCCCUGGGCCUUGCCUCCGACUUCACCAUGUACCACAACAGUAGCCAGAAGCGGCACUGGACUUUUGCUAGUGAGGAGCAGCUGGCGCGAUUGCGGGCCGACGCCAACCGCAAAUUCAAAUGCAAAGCUGUGGCGAACGGGAAGGUUCUUCCAAAUGACCCAGUCUUUCUUGAGCCUCCUGAAGAAAUGACGCUGUGCAAGUAUUAUGAGAAAAGAUUAUUGGAAUUCUGUUCGGUGUUUAAGCCAGCAAUGCCAAGGUCUGUUGUGGGUACAGCUUGUAUGUAUUUCAAGCGCUUUUAUCUUAAUAACUCAGUAAUGGAAUAUCACCCGCGGAUAAUAAUGCUCACUUGUGCAUUUUUGGCCUGUAAAGUGGAUGAAUUCAAUGUGUCUAGUCCACAGUUUGUUGGAAAUCUGCGGGAGAGUCCUCUUGGACAAGAGAAGGCACUCGAACAGAUUUUGGAAUAUGAACUACUACUUAUACAGCAACUUAAUUUCCACCUUAUUGUCCACAAUCCUUAUAGACCCUUUGAGGGCUUUCUCAUUGAUUUAAAGACUCGCUAUCCCAUGUUGGAGAAUCCAGAGAUUUUGAGGAAAACAGCUGAUGACUUUCUUAAUAGAGUUGCACUGACGGAUGCUCACCUGUUAUACACACCUUCCCAGAUUGCUCUGACUGCCAUUUUAUCUAGUGCAUCCAGAGCAGGAAUUACUAUGGAAAGUUAUUUAUCAGAAAGUCUGAUGCUAAAAGAGAACAGAACUUGCUUGUCACAGUUACUAGAUAUAAUGAAAAGUAUGAGGAACUUGGUAAAAAAAUAUGAACCACCCAGACCUGAAGAAGUUGCUGUUCUGAAACAGAAGUUGGAGAGAUGUCACUCUGCUGAGCUUGCACUUAACGUAAUUACGAAAAAGAGGAAAGGUUAUGAAGAUGAUGAUUAUGUCUCAAAGAAAUCCAAACAUGAGGAGGUAUGUUCUCCAAAGGAAGAAUGGACUGACGAUGACCUGGUAGAUUCCCUCUAACCAUCCGAAAUUGAUUUGUCAAUGCUAACUACUCAACAGAAGGAUGAAGCAUAUCUGGCAUUUAACUUUAAAAAUGAAGUAAUGUGAAAGCAUCAAAAUAUAUUAAACUUUUCUAUUUAUGUUAUUUAAAAGUUUUUCAGGGUAGCUUUAUGUGAAAUAAAACAUCUUCAAAGGAGCCAGAAUAGCACCUGGUUUGGGUAUUCUUGCCCCACCAUGACUAAUAUCAAAUCAGUCUUUAAAUCAGUCUUUCUGUGGUAGCCAAAUUAAAGCUGUAAUUUAUUUGCCUAUAUUGUUUAUACAAGAUGUCAUUAAGCAAACUUAUCUUUUUCUGAAAAGGCACCACAAAAAACAAAACUUAGUUACUAGUCAGUUUUAAAAGUGCUAAGGAAUGUUGGCUACUAUAGCAUUUAUUCAGUUAUUUAACUGUGAUCUUACUCAGUUCCUAGAGUUGGAACCAAAUUAUGAAGGUCUGUCAGAUUGUUUCUGGAAAAUGGGGUUGAAGGAAUUCUGGGAAACUCAACUGCCCUAAAUCUGAGUUUUACAGAUGCAAACCUCUCCUCAGUGCAUCCCAGGAUGUACUUUUCCAUAAAGUGUCACUAAAGUUUGGCGUCAGAGCAAUCUCUGAAAAUUUUCCUACCCAGCCCCUUUAAAAAAAAUGUUUCAUUUCAUCAUUGACCAGCUAAAAGUUACUCCAAGGCCUACAAAGGUAAAUGACAAGUUUCCUAUUCCAGCUUAAGAGAUAAUAAGCAUGUCAUUAAAAUUUUAAAAAGCAGA